rnacentral:rRNA from 1 species
AUGAACGCUAGCUACAGGCUUAACACAUGCAAGUCGAGGGGCAGCAUGAACUUAGCUUGCUAAGUUUGAUGGCGACCGGCGCACGGGUGAGUAACACGUAUCCAACCUGCCGAUGACUCGGGGAUAGCCUUUCGAAAGAAAGAUUAAUACCCGAUGGCAUAGUUCUUCCGCAUGGUAGAACUAUUAAAGAAUUUCGGUCAUCGAUGGGGAUGCGUUCCAUUAGGUUGUUGGCGGGGUAACGGCCCACCAAGCCUUCGAUGGAUAGGGGUUCUGAGAGGAAGGUCCCCCACAUUGGAACUGAGACACGGUCCAAACUCCUACGGGAGGCAGCAGUGAGGAAUAUUGGUCAAUGGACGAGAGUCUGAACCAGCCAAGUAGCGUGAAGGAUGACUGCCCUAUGGGUUGUAAACUUCUUUUAUACGGGAAUAAAGUGAGGCACGUGUGCCUUUUUGUAUGUACCGUAUGAAUAAGGAUCGGCUAACUCCGUGCCAGCAGCCGCGGUAAUACGGAGGAUCCGAGCGUUAUCCGGAUUUAUUGGGUUUAAAGGGAGCGUAGGCGGACGCUUAAGUCAGUUGUGAAAGUUUGCGGCUCAACCGUAAAAUUGCAGUUGAUACUGGGUGUCUUGAGUACAGUAGAGGCAGGCGGAAUUCGUGGUGUAGCGGUGAAAUGCUUAGAUAUCACGAAGAACUCCGAUUGCGAAGGCAGCUUGCUGGACUGUAACUGACGCUGAUGCUCGAAAGUGUGGGUAUCAAACAGGAUUAGAUACCCUGGUAGUCCACACAGUAAACGAUGAAUACUCGCUGUUUGCGAUAUACAGUAAGCGGCCAAGCGAAAGCGUUAAGUAUUCCACCUGGGGAGUACGCCGGCAACGGUGAAACUCAAAGGAAUUGACGGGGGCCCGCACAAGCAGUGGAGUAUGUGGUUUAAUUCGACGCAACGCGAAGAACCUUACCAAGUCUUGACAUCCCUUGACAGGCAUAGAAAUAUGUUUUCUCUUCGGAGCAAGGAGACAGGUGGUGCAUGGUUGUCGUCAGCUCGUGCCGUGAGGUGUCGGCUUAAGUGCCAUAACGAGCGCAACCCUUAUCGAUAGUUACCAUCAGGUUAUGCUGGGGACUCUGUCGAGACUGCCGUCGUAAGAUGUGAGGAAGGUGGGGAUGACGUCAAAUCAGCACGGCCCUUACGUCCGGGGCUACACACGUGUUACAAUGGGGGGUACAGAAGGCAGCUACACGGCGACGUGAUGCUAAUCCCGAAAGCCUCUCUCAGUUCGGAUUGGAGUCUGCAACCCGACUCCAUGAAGCUGGAUUCGCUAGUAAUCGCGCAUCAGCCACGGCGCGGUGAAUACGUUCCCGGGCCUUGUACACACCGCCCGUCAAGCCAUGAAAGCCGGGGGUACCUGAAGUGCGUAACCGCGAGGAGCGCCCUAGGGUAAAACUGGUGAUUGGGGCU